CUGAACUUAAGCAUAUCAAUAAGCGG
rnacentral:ncRNA from 2 species